UACGUAGGGUGCGAGCGUUAAUCGGAAUUACUGGGCGUAAAGCGUGCGCAGGCGGUUCGCUGUGUCCGAUGUGAAAGCCCCGGGCUUAACCUGGGAAUGGCAUUGGAAACUGGCGGGCUUGAGUGUGGCAGAGGGGGGUGGAAUUCCGCGUGUAGCAGUGAAAUGCGUAGAGAUGCGGAGGAACACCGAUGGCGAAGGCAGCCCCCCUGGGCUAACACUGACGCUCAUGCACGAAAGCGUGGGGAGCAAACAGG
rnacentral:rRNA from 1 species